ensembl:snoRNA
AAUGUGGGUGAUGAAAACACGUCCUUAGGUUGGUCUUUUUUGGCUGUUUUGGUCAAAACCUUUGACCUUCCAGUGUUAGGAUUCGUCAUAGUUACACUGACACAUG